AUUGAACGCUGGCGGCAGGCCUAACACAUGCAAGUCGAGCGAGCGGCGGACGGGUGAGUAAUGUAUGGGGACUGCCUGAUAGAGGGGGAUAACUACGGGAAACGGUGGCUAAUACCGCAUACUAUCGGAUAACCCAUAUGGGAUUAGCUAGUGGGUGGGGUAAAGGCUCACCUAGGCGACGAUCUCUAGCUGGUCUGAGAGGGUGAUCAGCCACACUGGGACUGAGACACGGCCCAGACUCCUACGGAGGCAGCAGUGGGGAAUAUUGCGCAAUGGGCGAAAGCCUGAUGCAGCCAUGCCGCGUGUAUGAAGAAGGCCUUAGGGUUGUAAAGUACUUUUAGUGGGGAGGCGUUACCCGCAGAAGAAGCACCGGCUAACUCCGUGCCAGCAGCCGCGGUAAUUC
rnacentral:rRNA from 1 species